GUUACCCAGUUUGAGAUGUGUACUUCCUUCGUUCCACAAGUCGCAUCACCACAAUGUUGAGAGCUAGGGUUUUUGACUGGAAGGCUGAAUCGGCGUUGAUCUCUUUUGCAAAUUUGUGUAUGAUGAUGCCCUUUGAGUUCCGACAUACGCCCGCCAUCGCGUCGGAUCUCCAUUCGUUCAGCCAGGAACCAUCUACGUUGUAUGUUAGCUUGCCGCGCUCUGGAAGACUAUCUCGCAGAGUAGGAAGAGGUGCUUCGGUGUCUCUAAUGUUUGGCGACAGAUGGGGCAUAGUGGAUCAAGUACCACCUUUCACUUGUAUAGAUUUUCCUGUGUUGGGAGGGUGUUUGUACAUAAGCUCCAUGUGAAGAUUUUUAUAUUUGGUGGAAUGUUUAGAUGCCAAAUCAUAUUCCAUAGCUUCUUGGGAGGUUGGUAAGAUGAGGAUGCCUGGGUUUUGUUGCUAUGUGUCUCUGCAUUGUGAAUGGUAUUAUAAUCGCUUUUCACCGUAUA